rnacentral:rRNA from 1 species
AUUGAACGCUGGCGGCAGGCCUAACACAUGCAAGUCGAGCGGAUGACGGGAGCUUGCUCCUUGAUUCAGCGGCGGACGGGUGAGUAAUGCCUAGGAAUCUGCCUGGUAGUGGGGGACAACGUUUCGAAAGGAACGCUAAUACCGCAUACGUCCUACGGGAGAAAGCAGGGGACCUUCGGGCCUUGCGCUAUCAGAUGAGCCUAGGUCGGAUUAGCUAGUAGGUGAGGUAAUGGCUCACCUAGGCGACGAUCCGUAACUGGUCUGAGAGGAUGAUCAGUCACACUGGAACUGAGACACGGUCCAGACUCCUACGGGAGGCAGCAGUGGGGAAUAUUGGACAAUGGGCGAAAGCCUGAUCCAGCCAUGCCGCGUGUGUGAAGAAGGUCUUCGGAUUGUAAAGCACUUUAAGUUGGGAGGAAGGGUUGUACGUUUAUACCGUGCAAUUUUGACGUUACCGACAGAAUAAGCACCGGCUAACUCUGUGCCAGCAGCCGCCACAGUAA